CGGGACGGGGUGGAGUAACGCGUGGGUGACCUGCCCCAUACCGGGGGAUAACAGCUGGAAACGGCUGCUAAUACCGCAUAAGCGCACAGAGCUGCAUGGCUCGGUGUGAAAAACUCCGGUGGUAUGGGAUGGGCCCGCGUCUGAUUAGGCAGUUGGCGGGGUAACGGCCCACCAAACCGACGAUCAGUAGCCGGCCUGAGAGGGCGACCGGCCACAUUGGGACUGAGACACGGCCCAA
rnacentral:rRNA from 1 species